rnacentral:rRNA from 1 species
GACGAACCGUGCGAACGUUGUUCGGAAUCACUGGGCUUAAAGGGCGCGUAGGCGGGCCGCAUAGCCAAGGGUGAAAUCCUCCGGCUCAACCGGAGAAGGGCCUUUGGAACUGGCGGCCUCGAGGGGUGCAGGGGCGUGCGGAACUCAGGGUGGAGCGGUGAAAUGCGUAGAUAUCCUGAGGAACACCGGUGGCGAAGGCGGCACGCUGGACACCUGCUGACGCUGAGGCGCGAAAGCCAGGGGAGCAAACGGG